AGAGUUUGAUCCUGGCUCAGGACGAACGCUGGCGGCGUGCCUAAUACAUGCAAGUCGAACGCUUCUUUUUCCACCGGAGCUUGCUCCACCGGAAAAAGAGGAGUGGCGAACGGGUGAGUAACACGUGGGUAACCUGCCCAUCAGAAGGGGAUAACACUUGGAAACAGGUGCUAAUACCGUAUAACAAUCAAAACCGCAUGGUUUUGAUUUGAAAGGCGCUUUCGGGUGUCGCUGAUGGAUGGACCCGCGGUGCAUUAGCUAGUUGGUGAGGUAACGGCUCACCAAGGCCACGAUGCAUAGCCGACCUGAGAGGGUGAUCGGCCACAUUGGGACUGAGACACGGCCCAAACUCCUACGGGAGGCAGCAGUAGGGAAUCUUCGGCAAUGGACGAAAGUCUGACCGAGCAACGCCGCGUGAGUGAAGAAGGUUUUCGGAUCGUAAAACUCUGUUGUUAGAGAAGAACAAGGAUGAGAGUAACUGUUCAUCCCUUGACGGUAUCUAACCAGAAAGCCACGGCUAACUACGUGCCAGCAGCCGCGGUAAUACGUAGGUGGCAAGCGUUGUCCGGAUUUAUUGGGCGUAAAGCGAGCGCAGGCGGUUUCUUAAGUCUGAUGUGAAAGCCCCCGGCUCAACCGGGGAGGGUCAUUGGAAACUGGGAGACUUGAGUGCAGAAGAGGAGAGUGGAAUUCCAUGUGUAGCGGUGAAAUGCGUAGAUAUAUGGAGGAACACCAGUGGCGAAGGCGGCUCUCUGGUCUGUAACUGACGCUGAGGCUCGAAAGCGUGGGGAGCAAACAGGAUUAGAUACCCUGGUAGUCCACGCCGUAAACGAUGAGUGCUAAGUGUUGGAGGGUUUCCGCCCUUCAGUGCUGCAGCUAA
rnacentral:rRNA from 1 species